UACGAAGGGGGCUAGCGUUGCUCGGAAUCACUGGGCGUAAAGGGUGCGUAGGCGGGUCUUUUAAGUCAGGGGUGAAAUCCUGGAGCUCAACUCCAGAACUGCCUUUGAUACUGAGGAUCUUGAGUUCGGGAGAGGUGAGUGGAACUGCGAGUGUAGAGGUGAAAUUCGUAGAUAUUCGCAAGAACACCAGUGGCGAAGGCGGCUCACUGGCCCGAGUACUGACGCU
rnacentral:rRNA from 1 species